CUCUAGACUUAAUAUUUAAUGAAGAGAUUUGAGUUUAGAUCUCUUCUAAAUUAGUAAAUCUGACAUCCGACUGAUUAAAUUAGAUCAGCACAUCAAUAUGUCUAACCAUCUUAGUCGGCAUGGGUGAACUCGAGUCAACAAGUAACCUAACACAAAACUGAAUCUCCCAAGAUGGCUAGAGAAGUUAAGAUAUGUGGGGGUUCCCCUGUUGCUUUCUUUAGACACCAAUCAGAAUUGGUCAGGUC
rnacentral:lncRNA from 1 species